ensembl:lncRNA
GUUGACUUCUUUCUGCUUAAUGUGGUGUCAGCUGGGGACCAGAUCUAACUCAUUUCCUAGUAGCAUACUGAAAUAGUUUUCCAUGAGAAGUGCUGCAGUUUUUUAUUGCACACAUACAAUCCUUUGUUGAGAUUAUAAUUGUUUCCUACCAUCAGUGAUUCUUCUUUUUUUUCUUGCUGUACUUUCCAGCUCUCAGUAUUGUUCUGUGUCUCGGAACUGCAGGUUUUCCACAAAAGAAAAUUCGGUUGUGUCAAGGUGAUGGUGUGGUUAUUGUUUUUCUUUGGGCAUGGGCCAAACCACGCAGAUGGCAUACUAGGACGAGCCUGUGGAAGGAGACCAAUGGUUUUGUUGCCAACUCUUCGAGAAAAUCAGAGGAGCGACUGGGAAAUCUGUCUUCCAUGGAAAAGAGGAAAGAUGCUAAGGGACAGGAUGUACCCUCCUUGACAGUGUGGUCAAACAGCCAGCUUCCUCACUUGUCCCUAAAGAGCUCUCAGACAACUGUCUAGAAAAGUGCACAGUAUCCCCAGCUGUUAACAGCAGGAUAUACUGCAGCACUCCAGACUGCUGCUGCCAUGUCGUUUCAGUGCCUCCGGGGUCAGCUCAGUGUAUUAAAUUAACAGUUUUCCCAGGCAAUGCAAAAUGUCUGUGAACAGAAUGGUGCAGCAUAAUAAUGGGAUACAAGGGGAAGAUACCUGCUUAAAUAUGAAAUGUUUUGGUAAGAGCAGGAGACGUUGAAGUGGUUCUGACUUACAUGACUUAGUGCCAAACACACGUUGUCAUGCAGCAGUCCCAGCACGCUGUGUGUCUGUUCACCACCACUUCACAUUUUCAUAGCUUAUUUUAGAACAGUUGCAUUUUUUUUUCCAUCCUUAAUAAUUUAUGCGCUUAGAAUUAUCAAUAACGUGAAGCUUCAUUAUAAACUAUCUGGAGGAUUCUCAUCUGACUCGUCCCAUUAAAUUAUUAUUCCCAAACAUGAUUUAUAUUUAAUAAGACAUCAAUUGAACAUCAGUAAAAAUAAUAAUUAAUGAACUAUAUCUUCAUAGAAAUAUCAAUAGCUUAAAGACAAGCAAAUGCUGUGUACGGUCUGCAGGUCAGCUGUCAAACCUCUCUGAGAAUAUUUGUCUGUUUAGUAUUUAGAAUAUGAUAGUAAACCACACAGAUAUUUAAUUGCUGUGGUCUUCAGCUGAUUCUUGUGACAACUGUGGACCACGCCAAACCAUGAACCUGUAAGGCAGAACUGGGAAGUAACAAAGUGUUCUGUGUAGGUGAGGAGGUAAUCUCAAAACACUACAAAUGCCCAAGCAACUUCACGUUUCCACAAACAAAAUGUCAGAAGAAUUUUGGUUUGGGUAACUUUUUUUCUUUAACAUGAUCUACUGGAUUGAAAUGCUCUAUUUCUCCAUACAGAAAGUCAAAAUAAACAAUUUUACUGAUUGAAACUUCUGCCUAAAAACACAUUAAAAUAGCCUAAAGUUCAACAGUGUCGUUUGAGUCUUCUGUUCUAACAAACUAUUGCUCCACAGGACAAACUUCAUCAAAUAUUUGUAUUCAGAAAGAAGUGACAUUACUUCAUCCCAGGGAAUUGCAGCAAAGGCCCUUAAUCCUACUGCACCUUAUAGCAUUGCAGUAGUGGUUAUCACUCAUCAGGGACCACUUCUGUUUACAUUUCCUCAGCUUACACACAUCCCACAUGAGUCUUAAUGGAGGAGGAGAAAGGACAGGAGAAAAAGUUUUUCUGGAUUUUCUUCUUCAUUUCUAGUUUUUAUUUCUUACUUUCCUGUUCUGUUCAAAUUUCAUCAGGGAUUGAACAAAAGCUUCAGAUGGACAAGGUGACCACAUUGUCAGUAUCACACUUACCUUUGUCCAGGUUCAUUGGGAAGCAUUUACUCCCUGCUCCCUCAGACCCUCACUUAUGUAGGAUUUACACAAGGGCUUUGAUUGCACAUUCUGGAAGAAAGCCAAAAGACGUUACUGUCCUUCAGUGACAGCUUGAUGGUUUUUAAUAUUCGUUGGAUCUCCUUUUCAUCCACUGCACAUGCCUUUUUUAACUGCUCACGUCCACGAUUUGGCUUCUCCAUUACACAACCAAGGAUUAUAAGGGCAGCUGUCCUCUAAUGUAAAACACGAGUUGACGCAAACAUUGCAGUCUCAUUUAAAACUUUAAAGCCCCUUGAGCUUGAGAUACUUACAGCUCUACAGAGAUGUGCUAUUCAAACCCCAGCACAGAGAGGUUUCAGUUUAACUUUCUUAAAACGUUAAGAGCUGAUGGAACCAUAAAGACAUUCUGGUCUGACCUCCUACAUCGUGUUUUUACUCAGUCGCUUCCAUCUCGAUCCCCCCAACAUACUGAGACAAAUACACCUUUCUGAAAGGCUUGAUAUCUUAAUCUGCACCUGAAAAAUCUAUUACUCUACCACCAGUUCACACUAGCAUUAUUACCUCACACUCCAAAGCACAAUUGAGAAGCCCAGUUUUGUCACUCCCACCCCCAGCCAAUGAUUUUUACCUUUUCUCUGCUGCUCAGUGCUUUGGUAUUCCCUAUCUUGGUGCCAUGAGGGAGCUAGACACAUCGGAGGUUGUAGCAUUUCUACCACCCAGAAACAUGCAAGCAAUAGCAUGCAUACAUGAAGGUCUCUAGUAUGUCUUCUUACCUUGAAGGACUCACCAGAAUCCAGAGCCAGGUAUAUCUGCUGUGCUCUCCUCCUGACCUGGUCCAAGUCCAUUCCUUCCUGAGACACUCUCGCAGGGAAAUGAUGAAAAGUUUAACAUGGAAAGAACAUGCCCAUAGCUGUGAGGGACAGCUCUAUUUUUAAAGCAACGAGCUCACCACAUAUUCCAUUUUCUCUCACUUAAUCACACAACUUUUAAAAUGAUAAUUUAUUUUUUUUUUUCUGAACACAUCCAUUCUGGACUAGUUUCACCACCCUCAUUCGACAAAAUGCACGCUAAUUUUAAUGGAUGUUUUUCUUGAGUAAGAACGAAUACCACCUUUGGUUUCUGAGCCUUCUUUACAACAGAUUUGGCGAAAGUCAAAAUAAACAACAUCCAGCAAUUCACCUUUAGGUAGUGCAAAAACAGUCCCCAGAGUGACAGCUUUCAGUUCAUCUCCAGUGAGAGCUGUAUAAGCCGUAAGCUCUUCUAUAAACACAGCAAUGAAUAACGAUCAGUCUCUUACUCCUCUCAGUCUCUCGUGUGACAGACCCUUAAUUAUGGCUAUUAGAUUAUUAUUUUCUCCAGAGAAUCCUAUAAGGCAAAAGCAGUGUUCUUCUCUGGACAUCAAAGACAGAAUUAAGACACUGCUUAGGAAAGCUCCUCAGAAACAGCAGCUGUUCAUCCCCACUAAGGAAUGCCCUAUUUGAGACAGAGUGCGCAGCUGCAGCUUCACUGUCUGCUCUGUAUGAGGCACCCUGCAAAAACUGAUGCUCCGCUUUGAAGGGAAAGAUGCCCACCUAAAACACAGGGCAGCCCACCUCCUGCUAAGCUCUGAAAAACUAUUCAGAUUUCUGUUACCUUAGACCUCUGUAUCCUACAAAGAUCACCCAUUCUCAAUAAGUCCUGGACCAGUGAGGCUUGCAACACAACAGUACAAAAGCAGUAGCACAAAUUAUGACUGUGUAACAGAAAAGUGAACUAGAAUCCACCCACCUAAGGCACUGUACCACCAGCAUCUGUUACUGCACAUAUCUUUUUAUGUGUAACAUUUAUUGGCAUCCUUCGGGGAUAACUCUGCAUGCUCCUACAGUCAACUAGGAAGAAUGUCUGUCCCCCAAGAGAGAACAACAGGCCAGAAUCAAGACUCAGGCUGACUCCAAGCAACAAAUGAUUCCCGAACACUUUAUACAUAGUGUGGCACGAUUUGAGUUCCAAAUCCCCCAAGAGUUCUGUGACCAACCUCCUGUGAGUUUCUGGGAUGUAAAGGUCAGAGCUGAAGACGGCAUGGACAGAGUGUACAGAAGAAAAGUCUCAGAACCUCUUGCUUCAAAUCCAUCACUUUCAGAGAGAAAAAACAGACAGCAAAGCACUCCUCUUUUAGAGGCAAAUCAGCCAUGGUGGGAACCUCUCAAACAACUGAGAACAACUGAAAACGGGCACUCCUGAAAUCAAGGAGAGAGGAUGGCUUUCCCAGAGAACUUCUGCACGGAGAUCUGGCUUCUGAAUUUCUUGGAUUCCUUAAAUGAAAAUCUUACACUGGGAAUUCCAAACAAUACAGCCUGUAACGUUUGGCUAGCAUACAGCACUCAGUGCAACCCCCCGGGCCGUGUUCCUGGACUCGUCCCAUCCCCACACUACAAAGAUGUCUUUCCUCAGCCAGCUCUGCUGCCAGCCAAGUUCCUGACAAGGUGUUGGUGCUCUGGUCUGAACAUUGGUUAAUCUUCCCCAUGCUGGCUGGCUCCGUUGGUCUUAAAGAAGCACCAUCCAAUCUCAAUCCCAGUGUUCCUUAACUGCUUCAUUCCCUUUCACAUUUUCUAUUUUUUAUAAUCACUUCUUAGGAACAACUGUAAUACUACUAGCUAGUGGAACAGGUGUCGUUACUAAUAAAGCCUGUAAGAAGGAAAACCAGUGUCCCACCAAACAUAUGUAGAGGAUGCACCUUCCAACAUUAAAGCUCUGAUUUGCA